rnacentral:ncRNA from 2 species
UCAAGCGAUAGAGGUGCGGAACGGAUGACGCAUGGGCGAGCCGGCGGGCAGGGACCCCACGCAAAGGCCAAGCCGCCGAAUCGCCCUGCCGGGUACGGUGGGGCGGUGGGUCCGCGGGGAACACCCACGGGACUGUCUGCAGGGAACUCUGCGGUUGAGCUAUCCCCGCG